rnacentral:rRNA from 1 species
CACGCAGGCGGUUUGUUAAGUCAGAUGUGAAAUCCCCGGGCUCAACCUGGGAACUGCAUCUGAUACUGGCAAGCUUGAGUCUCGUAGAGGGGGGUAGAAUUCCAGGUGUAGCGGUGAAAUGCGUAGAGAUCUGGAGGAAUACCGGUGGCGAAGGCGGCUUCCUGGCACACAACUGACGCUCAUGUGCGAAAGCCAGGGCAGCGAACG